rnacentral:rRNA from 1 species
UGCAGUCGAACGGCAGCACGGGUGCUUGCACCUGGUGGCGAGUGGCGAAGGGGUGAGUAAUACAUCGGAACAUGUCCUGUAGUGGGGGAUAGCCCGGCGAAAGCCGGAUUAAUACCGCAACGAUCUACGGAUGAAAGCGGGGGACCUUCGGGCCUCGCGCUAUAGGGUUGGCCGAUGGCUGAUUAGCUAGUUGGUGGGGUAAAGGCCUACCAAGGCGACGAUCAGUAGCUGGUCUGAGAGGACGACCAGCCACACUGGGACUGAGACACGGCCCAGACUCCUACGGGAGGCAGCAGUGGGGAAUUUUGGACAAUGGGCGAAAGCCUGAUCCAGCAAUGCCGCGUGUGUGAAGAAGGCCUUCGGGUUGUAAAGCACUUUUGUCCGGAAAGAAAUCCUUGGCUCUAAUACAGUCGGGGGAUGACGGUACCGGAAGAAUAAGCACCGGCUAACUACGUGCCAGCAGCCGCGGUAAUACGUAGGGUGCAAGCGUUAAUCGGAAUUACUGGGCGUAAAGCGUGCGCAGGCGGUUUGCUAAGACCGAUGUGAAAUCCCCGGGCUCAACCUGGGAACUGCAUUGGUGACUGGCAGGCUAGAGUAUGGCAGAGGGGGGUAGAAUUCCACGUGUAGCAGUGAAAUGCGUAUAGAUGUGGAGGAAUACCGAUGGCGAAGGCAGCCCCCUGGGCCAAUACUGACGCUCAUGCACGAGAGCGUGGGGAGCAAACAGGAUUAGAUACCCUGGUAGUCCACGCCCUAAACGAUGUCAACUAGUUGUUGGGGAUUCAUUUCCUUAGUAACGUAGCUUACGCGUGAAGUUGACCGCCUGGGGAGUACGGUCGCAAGAUUAAAACUCAGAGGAAUUGACGGAGACCCGCACAAGCGGUGGAUGAUGUGGAUUAAUUCGAUGCAACGCGAAAAACCUUACCUACCCUUGACAUGGUCGGAAUCCCGCUGAGAGGUGGGAGUGCUCGAAAGACAACCGGCGCACAGGUGCUGCAUGGCUGUCGUCACCUCGUGUCGUGAGAAUGUUGGGUUAAGUCCCGCAACGAGCGCCACCCUUGUCCUUAGUUGCUACGCAGAGCACUCUAGGAGACUGCCGUGACAACCGGAGGAA